UUGAUUUCAAAUUUGAAAUUAAUUAACUGUGCAAGUACUGCUUAAAAAGUCUUUUUUUGCCUCCGUUUCAAAAAAAAUCUAACAAGAGAAAAAUAGUUGUUGCUAUCACUAGUAAAAAAAAUACAGAAGUUUUGUUUUAGAAAUCAUGCAAUGAUACAAAGGCUUAGCGACAAAAAACAAAAUUAUCCCUAAAUUAGAUGUGAUCAAUGCGAACCAACCCAAAGUCCAGCACCAGCCGUGCAUUUCAAGUGCAGGUUUGACACAAGGCCACCAACCAGUUCACAGGUGUGCCCUCGCCUGGCAAGGUGUCGACCACCGGACGGCAAAAAGAAAUCCGACGGCAGAGAAUCACCGAAGCUGGCAAAGCGGCCACACGACAAAUCUGAACCCGGCGACAACCGUGACCUUCGCCCCGCAACCUCAAGCGGCCCCUCCGCACAUGUCGCUCUCCACCACAGCCGGACCGGGACCGGACGAGCCGGCCAUUGUCGUCCAAUCAAGGCGCGCGCACACGAGCAGCUUGCCGAGGCCGGGGCCUUUCCCAACGUCCUCUUCACGUGAACUCACUCAGCCAAUGGUCCAGUGCAAAGUCAAGGCCGCCAUCACCACGUAUCAGCGUCAGGAAAAGGAGAAGUGCGUAUCGUCCUGUGACUCGGCGAGUUGCUCAACAAACGGGACGAAGGUGGCGUCCUCUCCCUUCCUGAUAUUUGGGACACCUACACCUGCGGCAAGGACGAACAAAAGAUGUUUAGUCAGAUAUCAGUGGAAUUGCGUGUCCAAUCUACGACGAAAAGCAGUGACGUUCAUGCUCUGUAAGUCGCAAAAUGAAGCGGGGAAUUCAAAUAGGAAGAAAAUCUGAAGAAAACUAGAGUGGAUGGUGGUAGUUGCGAGGAGAGUAGGGAUAACAGUAUUGUCUACAAGUAUCAAAAUGUACUAAAAUGCUACUGCAGUUAGGUGAUAUUCUAGAUUAGUUUGUUGGUUGUUUACACCAGAGUUCACAAAGAUAUAUCAAAAGGAACACGUAAAGAUAGUAGCAAGCUGGUGAAUUUAUUUGCUACCAUCACAUGCAAAGAACCAGUAGACAGCUAUCAGACUUACUUUUAAAGUCAUGCACGAUAGCUACAUUCCAGAAACCACACGAAGCCACUUUUCACAACAUCGUUGAAUUCACGAAAUUUAGUAUGUGUAAGGUUACGCGCAUUAUUGAAGCCCAGACCUUAUAUAAAGAGCUGAUGGCGGAAGGAGCAUCACUUACUGUUGGUAGCAUUGCCAUCUUCCAAGGAACCUGAGCAUUCAUCUUGAGCCCAGGCUGCAAGAAUGGCUUGUGCUGUAGAUCCCAGCAGCAACAAGAACAGCUUGCUGAUGCUUCCUGAGAGAGUGAAGAAGAUCACCAGGAUUCCUGCUUCGUGGUGGGCGUACGCAUGGAGUAUUGGAAGAGAAGAUCAAAGGAGAGCCAUUCAUGCUCUCAAGGUUGGGACAGCUCUCACACUAGUCUCGCUCUUGUAUAUACUAGAACCGUUGUUCAAAGGAGUGGGAAAGAAUGCAAUGUGGGCUGUCAUGACGGUUGUUGUUGUGCUCGAAUUUACCGCAGGUAAUCUACUAGCAUCAUAUUGAUUAUAAUAUGGUAUUUGUGGAUGUAGUUCUUCGGUUUCUAACAAGUGAGUGCUGAUCAACAGGUGCAACCAUAUGCAAAGGUCUGAAUAGAGGGUUCGGAACAGUCAUAGCGGCAUCUCUAGCAUUUAUCAUUGAACUUGUAGCAGUAAGAUCUGGAAAAGUUUUCCGCGGUUUCUUUGUGGCAUCUUCAGUAUUUCUGAUAGGUAUGUACCUUGUAAAAUUGGAAUUUAGGAUGGCCAAAUUAAUAGUAUCUUAUGCCGUAGCAUUUUCAAUGACAGGAUUCGCGGCAACAUAUUUGAGAUUCUUCCCAUCCAUUAAGAAGAAUUAUGAUUAUGGUGUGGUGAUUUUUUUGCUAACCUUCAAUCUGAUAACGGUCUCAAGCUUCCGCCAGGAGAACAUACUGCCUUUAGCACGAGAUCGCUUGAGUACAAUUGCCAUAGGGUGUGCCAUAUGCCUCUUUAUGAGCCUCUUUGUGUUGCCAAACUGGUCGGGAGAGGACCUCCACAGCCGCACUGCGCACAAAUUUGAAGGAUUGGCAAGAUCAGUUGAAGGUGGGUAUCACAUAUAUGGUGUUAACACGCUAACUAUUAUCAUACUAAUAGCUUAAUCUUUAAUGUAAGAAAAUAUCAGAACUCAGUAGUAUCUUACCAAAGAAAAAUUGCAGGUUGUGUGAAUGAGUAUUUCCGAGAUCAAGAGAAGCAUGAUAACAUUCUUGAUAAGCAGACAUCGAGAGCUUCCAUUCAUACUGGGUAUAGAGAAGUACUAGACUCA
rnacentral:lncRNA from 1 species